rnacentral:rRNA from 2 species
UUAAGCGACUAAGCGUACACGGUGGAUGCCCUGGCAGUCAGAGGCGAUGAAGGACGUGCUAAUCUGCGAUAAGCGUCGGUAAGGUGAUAUGAACCGUUAUAACCGGCGAUUUCCGAAUGGGGAAACCCAGUGUGAUUCGUCACACUAUCAUUAACUGAAUCCAUAGGUUAAUGAGGCGAACCGGGGGAACUGAAACAUCUAAGUACCCCGAGGAAAAGAAAUCAACCGAGAUUCCCCCAGUAGCGGCGAGCGAACGGGGAGCAGCCCAGAGCCUGAAUCAGUGUGUGUGUUAGUGGAAGCGUCUGGAAAGGCGCGCGAUACAGGGUGACAGCCCCGUACACAAAAAUGCACAUGCUGUGAGCUCGAUGAGUAGGGCGGGACACGUGGUAUCCUGUCUGAAUAUGGGGGGACCAUCCUCCAAGGCUAAAUACUCCUGACUGACCGAUAGUGAACCAGUACCGUGAGGGAAAGGCGAAAAGAACCCCGGCGAGGGGAGUGAAAAAGAACCUGAAACCGUGUACGUACAAGCAGUGGGAGCACAGAGCAAUCUGUGUGACUGCGUACCUUUUGUAUAAUGGGUCAGCGACUUAUAUUCUGUAGCAAGGUUAACCGAAUAGGGGAGCCGAAGGGAAACCGAGUCUUAACUGGGCGUUAAGUUGCAGGGUAUAGACCCGAAACCCGGUGAUCUAGCCAUGGGCAGGUUGAAGGUUGGGUAACACUAACUGGAGGACCGAACCGACUAAUGUUGAAAAAUUAGCGGAUGACUUGUGGCUGGGGGUGAAAGGCCAAUCAAACCGGGAGAUAGCUGGUUCUCCCCGAAAGCUAUUUAGGUAGCGCCUCGUGAAUUCAUCUCCGGGGGUAGAGCACUGUUUCGGCAAGGGGGUCAUCCCGACUUACCAACCCGAUGCAAACUGCGAAUACCGGAGAAUGUUAUCACGGGAGACACACGGCGGGUGCUAACGUCCGUCGUGAAGAGGGAAACAACCCAGACCGCCAGCUAAGGUCCCAAAGUCAUGGUUAAGUGGGAAACGAUGUGGGAAGGCCCAGACAGCCAGGAUGUUGGCUUAGAAGCAGCCAUCAUUUAAAGAAAGCGUAAUAGCUCACUGGUCGAGUCGGCCUGCGCGGAAGAUGUAACGGGGCUAAACCAUGCACCGAAGCUGCGGCAGCGACACUAUGUGUUGUUGGGUAGGGGAGCGUUCUGUAAGCCUGUGAAGGUGUACUGUGAGGUAUGCUGGAGGUAUCAGAAGUGCGAAUGCUGACAUAAGUAACGAUAAAGCGGGUGAAAAGCCCGCUCGCCGGAAGACCAAGGGUUCCUGUCCAACGUUAAUCGGGGCAGGGUGAGUCGACCCCUAAGGCGAGGCCGAAAGGCGUAGUCGAUGGGAAACAGGUUAAUAUUCCUGUACUUGGUGUUACUGCGAAGGGGGGACGGAGAAGGCUAUGUUGGCCGGGCGACGGUUGUCCCGGUUUAAGCGUGUAGGCUGGUUUUCCAGGCAAAUCCGGAAAAUCAAGGCUGAGGCGUGAUGACGAGGCACUACGGUGCUGAAGCAACAAAUGCCCUGCUUCCAGGAAAAGCCUCUAAGCAUCAGGUAACAUCAAAUCGUACCCCAAACCGACACAGGUGGUCAGGUAGAGAAUACCAAGGCGCUUGAGAGAACUCGGGUGAAGGAACUAGGCAAAAUGGUGCCGUAACUUCGGGAGAAGGCACGCUGAUAUGUAGGUGAAGCGACUUGCUCGUGGAGCUGAAAUCAGUCGAAGAUACCAGCUGGCUGCAACUGUUUAUUAAAAACACAGCACUGUGCAAACACGAAAGUGGACGUAUACGGUGUGACGCCUGCCCGGUGCCGGAAGGUUAAUUGAUGGGGUUAGCGGUAACGCGAAGCUCUUGAUCGAAGCCCCGGUAAACGGCGGCCGUAACUAUAACGGUCCUAAGGUAGCGAAAUUCCUUGUCGGGUAAGUUCCGACCUGCACGAAUGGCGUAAUGAUGGCCAGGCUGUCUCCACCCGAGACUCAGUGAAAUUGAACUCGCUGUGAAGAUGCAGUGUACCCGCGGCAAGACGGAAAGACCCCGUGAACCUUUACUAUAGCUUGACACUGAACAUUGAGCCUUGAUGUGUAGGAUAGGUGGGAGGCUUUGAAGUGUGGACGCCAGUCUGCAUGGAGCCGGCCUUGAAAUACCACCCUUUAAUGUUUGAUGUUCUAACGUUGGCCCCUGAUCGGGGUUGCGGACAGUGUCUGGUGGGUAGUUUGACUGGGGCGGUCUCCUCCUAAAGAGUAACGGAGGAGCACGAAGGUUGGCUAAUCCUGGUCGGACAUCAGGAGGUUAGUGCAAUGGCAUAAGCCAGCUUGACUGCGAGCGUGACGGCGCGAGCAGGUGCGAAAGCAGGUCAUAGUGAUCCGGUGGUUCUGAAUGGAAGGGCCAUCGCUCAACGGAUAAAAGGUACUCCGGGGAUAACAGGCUGAUACCGCCCAAGAGUUCAUAUCGACGGCGGUGUUUGGCACCUCGAUGUCGGCUCAUCACAUCCUGGGGCUGAAGUAGGUCCCAAGGGUAUGGCUGUUCGCCAUUUAAAGUGGUACGCGAGCUGGGUUUAGAACGUCGUGAGACAGUUCGGUCCCUAUCUGCCGUGGGCGCUGGAGAACUGAGGGGGGCUGCUCCUAGUACGAGAGGACCGGAGUGGACGCAUCACUGGUGUUCGGGUUGUCAUGCCAAUGGCACUGCCCGGUAGCUAAAUGCGGAAGAGAUAAGUGCUGAAAGCAUCUAAGCACGAAACUUGCCCCGAGAUGAGUUCUCCCUGACUCCUUGAGAGUCCUGAAGGAACGUUGAAGACGACGACGUUGAUAGGCCGGGUGUGUAAGCGCAGCGAUGCGUUGAGCUAACCGGUACUAAUGAACCGUGAGGCUUAACCUU